GGGAAAUGGAAGAUGUGGUGGAAAUGAAGAAUAAAUGCUGCUCCAUCCUACAAAGAAUGUCCACUGUGUUGUUACCAGAUGCUGAGACGGUACAACCUGCUGACUGAUGCAUACCAUAUCAUCAGCCUUGGAUACAAGUUCCUACUCACCCUCUCAGUUACCCAGGUAGAUCCUACUCACCCUCUCAGUUACCCAGGUAGUUCCUACUCACCCUCAGUUACCCAGGUAGAUCCUACUCACCCUCUCUGUUACCCAGGUAGAUCCUACUCACCCUCUCAGUUACCCAGGUAGAUCCUACUCACCCUCUCAGUUACCCAGGUAGAUCCUACUCACCCUCUCUGUUACCCAGGUAGUUCCUACUCACCCUCUCAGUUACCCAGCUAGAUCCUACUCACCCUCUGUUACCCAAGUAGUUCCUACUCACCCUCUCAGUUACCCAGGUAGUUCCCACUCACCCUCUCAGUUACCCAGGUAGAUCCUACUCACCCUCUCAGUUACCCAGGUAGCUUGUGAAUGAAGUUUCUCUACCUUAAAGUAUAUCAAGAGCAGGGGCUGGUAGUGAUGUAGCUAG
rnacentral:lncRNA from 1 species